rnacentral:rRNA from 1 species
CCUACGGGGGGCAGCAGUAGGGAAUAUUGCGCAAUGGGGGAAACCCUGAAGCAGCAACGCCGCGUGGAGGAUGAAGGUUUUCGGAUUGUAAACUCCUUUUGUUAGAGAAGAUAAUGACGGUAUCUAACGAAUAAGCACCGGCUAACUCCGUGCCAGCAGCCGCGGUAAUACGGAGGGUGCAAGCGUUACUCGGAAUCACUGGGCGUAAAGAGCGCGUAGGCGGGAUAGCAAGUCAGAUGUUAAAUCCUAUGGCUUAACCAUAGAACUGCAUUUGAAACUGUUAUUCUAGAGUAUGGGAGAGGUAGGUGGAAUUCUUGGUGUAGGGGUAAAAUGCGUAGAGAUCAAGAGGAAUACUCAUUGCGAAGGCGACCUGCUAGAACAUAACUGACGCUGAUGCGCGAAAGCGUGGGGAGCAAACAGGAUUAGAUACCCCAGUAGUC